AGUAACCUUGCUGGAAGCCCCGCGGGCCGCAGUGUGUGGCUGGCGUUAUACAGCCCCCAGCCAUCGCCUGGAGGUCAUCCAGUGUCUGUUAUCACUCACCUUAGGUAGUCUGUGAAGGUCCAGUCAUCACUGGUGCACGUGUAUCUUACCUGUGAUCAACACCGGCAGCCACAGACUCCUGCCCAAUGAACGAACACAGUGAUCGUGAUGACAUUGACAACAACGAGCAAGUCCUCCUAGACCUAGAGUGACCUCAAGCUGGGCCAAACAUGAUGUGGAAGAAGAAAUCGGUUGUCUCCAUCAGUCGGGUUUGUGCCAUGGCAGCUUUCUCCAGCUGUCCGGCAGAGGUCCAGUCCAUGCCAUGGAGAAAUUCAGCCCCCAACAAUGAGAUGGCAUGCCAGAGAUGGAUCCGCAGCUUCUCCUCCAAUCAAUCAAUCCUUGCAAUGCCCUUUCUCUUUUCUCUCCUUCUGUACCACCAUGCUUAUACAUAACUGAUCCAAGGUACUUAAACUCAUUAACCUCUUCCAUUUCUUCACCAUUCAAAAUUAUUUUGCAUUCUUUUUCACAUUCAAUGCCCACUCUAUAUGGGCAUACAAAAUCUACAACCUCCCUUCUACUCCGCUCACAAACCAUCACUUUACUUUUGUUGACAUUUACUUUCAACUUUCUCCUUUUACAUACACUAUCAAAAACACUGACCAAAUUUUGUAAGUCACUUUCAUUUUCUGCAAUGAGCACCGUGUCAUCAGCAAAUAAGAUUGAAUUCAUCACCCACUUCCUUCCCUCCCUCGGCAUACAUUUUUACUUCAAUUUCCCCAACUUUGCCCUUCAUUUCUCAUAACACCGUCCAUAUAAAUAUUGAACAACCACGAUGACAUGACACACCCCUGCCUUAGCCCACUUUCAUCUCAAAAUGUUCACGUGUUUCUCCACUAAUUUUGACACAUGCAGAUGCAUCCUCAUAGAAAGACUUUAUUGCAUAAAUCAGUUUUCCUCCCACACCAUAUAUCUUUAAGACGUCCCACAAUGCCAGCCAAUCGACUCUGUCAUAAACUUUCUCUAGAAUAACUAGAUCC